rnacentral:pre_miRNA from 1 species
CAAGUGAUAGGAUCAUAGCGUAGUGAGACAAGUGAUAGUAUCAUUAUGAUCCUAUCACUUGUCUCACUACGCUAUGAUCCUAUCACUUGUC